UACGUAGGAGGCGAGCGUUGUCCGGAUUUACUGGGCGUAAAGAGCGCGCAGGCGGCACCUCAAGUACUCUCUGAAAUCUCCUUGCUCAACGAGGAGGGUGGAGAGUAGACUGAGGAGCUAGAGAGAGGUAGAGGGGGGUAGAAUUGCUGGUGUAGCGGUGAAAUGCGUAGAGAUCAGCAGGAAUACCCGUGGCGAAGGCGGCCCCCUGGGCCUUGUCUGACGCCGAGGCGCGAAGGCUGGGGGAGCGAACGGG
rnacentral:rRNA from 1 species